rnacentral:rRNA from 1 species
GGUGGCGAGUGGCGGACGGGUGAGGAAUACAUCGGAAUCUACUUUUUCGUGUGGUAUAACGUAGGGAAACUUACGCUAAUACCGCAUACGACCUACGGGUGAAAGCAGGGGAUCUUCGGACCUUGCGCGAUUGAAUGAGCCGAUGUCGGAUUAGCUAGUUGGCGGGGUAAAGGCCCACCAAGGCGACGAUCCGUAGCUGGUCUGAGAGGAUGAUCAGCCACACUGGAACUGAGACACGGUCCAGACUCCUACGGGAGGCAGCAGUGGGGAAUAUUGGACAAUGGGCGCAAGCCUGAUCCAGCCAUACCGCGUGGGUGAAGAAGGCCUUCGGGUUGUAAAGCCCUUUUGUUGGGAAAGAAAUCCAGCCGGCUAAUACCUGGUUGGGAUGACGGUACCCAAAGAAUAAGCACCGGCUAACUUCGUGCCAGCAGCCGCGGUAAUACGAAGGGUGCAAGCGUUACUCGGAAUUACUGGGCGUAAAGCGUGCGUAGGUGGUUGUUUAAGUCUGUUGUGAAAGCCCUGGGCUCAACCUGGGAACUGCAGUGGAAACUGGACAACUAGAGUGUGGUAGAGGGUAGCGGAAUUCCCGGUGUAGCANUGAAAUGCGUAGAGAUCGNGAGGAACAUCCAUGGCGAAGGCAGCUACCUGGACCAACACUGACACUGAGGCACGAAAGCGUGNGGAGCAAACAGGAUUAGAUACCCUGGUAGUCCACGCCCUAAACGAUGCGAACUGGAUGUUGGGUGCAAUUUGGCACGCAGUAUCNAAGCUAACGCGUUAAGUUCNCCGCCUGGGGAGUACGAUCGCAAGACUGAAACUCNAAGGAAUUGACGGGGGCCCGCACAAGCGGUGGAGUAUGUGUUUUAUUUCGAUGCAACGCGAAGAACGUUACCUGGCGUUGANAUGUCGAGNACUUUCCAGAGAUGGAUUGGUGCNUUCGGGAACUCGAACACAGGUGCUGCAUGGCUGUCGUCANCUCG